rnacentral:rRNA from 1 species
AACGCGAAAAACCUUACCUACCCUUGACAUGCCACUAACGAAGCAGAGAUGCCUUAGGUGCCCGAAAGGGAAAGUGGACACAGGUGCUGCAUGGCUGUCGUCAGCUCGUGUCGUGAGAUGUUGGGUUAAGUCCCGCAACGAGCGCAACCCUUGUCUCUAGUUGCUACGCAAGAGCACUCUAGAGAGACUGCCGGUGACAAACCGGAGGAAGGUGGGGAUGACGUCAAGUCCUCAUGGCCCUUAUGGGUAGGGCUUCACACGUCAUACAAUGGUGCGUACAGAGGGUUGCCAACCCGCGAGGGGGAGCUAAUCCCAGAAAACGCAUCGUAGUCCGGAUCGUAGUCUGCAACUCGACUACGUGAAGCUGGAAUCGCUAGUAAUCGCGGAUCAGCAUGC